rnacentral:lncRNA from 1 species
AUUCUUGUUUAUUGGAUUGUAGCCCAUUGGUCAGAUCUUUUCAACUCUCAACUUUUAAAUUUGUGCUUAGGAUUAGUCUCUUUAUCUCCUCCCCAUUUAUUUAAUUUAAAAAUCUCUCCCUCCUUUUAAAAUCUUCUUUGCUUGUGUCUAUUUUCUAAACUUUGACCUUAUUGCAAGCUAGAAACUUUGGCCUUAUGCCAUUGUAUUUUUCAAACUCUUUUCUUAAUCAAACUUGUAAAUAAAUUUAACUAUAAUUGAAU